UUCUGGCUUUUCAUACUCCUUUGCAGCCUGCCAGUGGGACUGGUUUCUACUUCAGCAGCUUCACCUGAACUCAGGCUACGCCUGCUGGUUCCAACAUCACAAACCCAGAUCAAUGGCAGCAGAGCCCAUGAAAAGAGAUGCCGUCAUGAACAAGUUAAUAGGCAUGGACAAAGCAUCUGCAAGCAACAUAUACCCCAAGCUUCAGUGGUUUGCUUUUUGUUUGCACUAGUACUUGUAUUUUUACUAUGUGGCAAAAAUAUCUAGAGGCAUUGGUUGGAGGGUUUUUAAUCUAUGAUUUGUUUAACUUCAAAACAAUAAAUAAAAAAUAAAAAUCAAUUAGAGCAGCCAGAAAGAGAGCAAGCUGCUUUUGUUGGCUGCAAAUGAA